CGUGUGAGGGCAAUCUGACUGCAGCAUCUAUCAUCGCCAGGGUUGAUUAAGCUGGUCAGCUGGCUAGGUGGGAUGCAUCUCUCCCGAAGCCACGCCCUCAGUUGAAGAGGAUGACCAUCUCCAAAUAGAGGAGGACCAGCCUUCAGUCAAAGGGUGCGCUCCCCUGCUAGAACCUCCAAACAAGCUCUCAAGGGACAAAUAUCAAGCUUUCUUAUAAAUCUGUAAUUGACAACUUGAAGUCUAACACCUGACUUCUCUUCCUUUGAUGGUCACUGGAGAGAGUGGAAGCUGAGACUCUGC
rnacentral:snRNA from 1 species